rnacentral:lncRNA from 1 species
UUGAACUAUUAAGCUCUUUGACUGCUUUUAUUUUUCUUUUUUCAGGUUCAAGUGCUGGAUUGUGUCAUGUGACUGUCCCAAAACUCAGAGCACCCUUUGGCCAUCUUUGCCCUCUGUCACAUAACUUGAAAACUGCCUGAUGGCCUUUUUGCAAUGGUUCCUUCCUGGAAACCUUGAUCUUGUUGAAGAAGUCCUUUCCUGGUAUUCCAGUGCCCCUGUCAGCCCAUACUCCUCAGACACCCUUAACAAAGGCAAUCACACACAUGAUGUAACAAAUACACAAAAUAAAGAGUUACACUAAUAAUACGUUCAGAGGAGCACCGGCCAGUCCAUACAGGUAGUGUGGGAAGAGGUGCCAGCUCCCACUGAAUGCUAGGCCAUAUCCUCAAGCCUCUUAGGGGAUAGAAAAGACCAGGAAACUGAGGCUCAACUCAGGUUUAUAUUCAUAAGACAACCCCAUUCCCCCUGUACUUGGUAGUAAUAAAGAGGCAAUAAUUGAAGUGUAAUG